AGGCCGUAAGGCUGCAUUUAUUAGAUAAACCAAGAAGGUGAAUCAUAAUAACUUUGCAAAUCGAAACUACGUUUCGAUACAUCAUUCAAGUUUCUGACCUAUCAUGCUCUCGAUGGUAGUGUAUUGGACUACCAUGGCAGUCACGGGUAACGGAGAAUUAGGGUUCGAUUCCGGAGAAGGAGCCUGAGAAACGGCUACUACAUCUAAGGAAGGCAGCAGGCGCGUAAAUUACCCAAUCCUAAAUCAGGGAGGUAGUGACAAGAUAUAACAACGCGAUUAAAUGUCGCGAUUGUAGUGAGGGUAUUCUAAAAAUAGCUUCGAGUACGAUUGGAGGGCAAGUCUGGUGCCAGCAGCCGCGGUAAUUCCAGCUCCAAUAGCGUAUAUUAAAGUUGCUGCAGUUAAAAAGCUCGUAGUUGAACUUCAUGAGCAGUAGGUAGCUUACUACC
rnacentral:rRNA from 1 species